UCAACAUAUACAAGACCCAAGAUGACAAAGAGGUGGCGCGUGACUUCACAUACAUUGACGACAUCGUAAAAGGCUGCGUCGGUGCUCUCGACACCGCGGAGAAGAGCACCGGGAGCGGGGGUAAAAAGAAGGCCCCCGCACAGCUCAGGAUAUACAAUUUAGGAAACACGUCUCCGGUGUCGGUAGGGAAACUUGUUUCCAUUUUGGAAAGUCUACUAAAUGUCAAGGCGAAGAAGCAUGUGAUUCGAAUGCCUCGAAACGGCGACGUUCCAUACACUCAUGCUAAUGUCAGCUUGGCUUACCAUGAUUUCGGAUACAAACCUACCACCGAUUUAUCAACCGGUUUGAGAAAGUUUGUCAAGUGGUAUGUAAGUUAUUAUGGCAUCCAAGCAAGGGUAAAAGGGG
rnacentral:lncRNA from 1 species